rnacentral:rRNA from 1 species
UGGGGAAUAUUGCACAAUGGGGGAAACCCUGAUGCAGCGACGCCGCGUGAACGAAGAAGGUAUUCGUAUCGUAAAGUUCUGUCCUAUGGGAAGAUAAUGACAGUACCAUAGAAGAAAGCUCCGGCUAAAUACGUGCCAGCAGCCGCGGUAAUACGUAUGGAACGAGCGUUGUCCGGAAUUAUUGGGCGUAAAGGGUACGCAGGCGGUUUAAUAAGUCGAAUGUUAAAGAUCGGGGCUCAACCCCGCAAAGCAUUGGAAACUGAUAAACUUGAGUAGUGGAGAGGAAAGUGGAAUUCCUAGUGUAGUGGUGAAAUACGUAGAUAUUAGGAGGAAUACCAGUAGCGAAGGCGACUUUCUGGACACAAACUGACGCUGAGGUACGAAAGCGUGGGGAGCAAACAGG